GAUUUCUGGCACGAUUUGCCUGGCCCGCCACGGUUUCGUGUGUGAGUGCCGGGUCGGAUCCGCCAUCCUUCCAGAGAACGGUCCUACCCUUCACUGGGCCGGGGCCGCAAUCUAGAUCUUUUACUUUGAAAAAAUUAGAGUGUUUAAAGCAGGCAUUUGCUAUGAAUACAUUAGCAUGGAAUAAUAAUUUAGGACUUCGGUUCUAUUUUGUUGGUUUCUAGGACUGAAGUAAUGAUUGAUAGGGAUAGUUGGGGGUGCUAGUAUUCAGCGGCCAGAGGUGAAAUUCUCGGAUUCGCUGAAGACUAACUUAUGCGAAAGCAUU
rnacentral:rRNA from 1 species